rnacentral:rRNA from 1 species
AGAGUUUGAUCCUGGCUCAGGACGAACGCUGGCGGCGUGCCUAACACAUGCAAGUCGAGCGGAGACAGUGAGUAGCUUGCUACGAACUGUUUUAGCGGCGGACGGGUGAGUAACGCGUGAGCAACCUUUCCCAGACAGGGGAAUAACACACCGAAAGGUGUACUAAUACCGCAUAAGACCACGGGAUCACAUGGUUCUGAGGUAAAAGAUUUAUCGGUUUGGGGUGGGCUCGCGUCCGAUUAGGUAGUUGGUGAGGUAACGGCCCACCAAGCCGACGAUCGGUAGCCGACCUGAGAGGGUGAUCGGCCACAUUGGGACUGAGACACGGCCCAAACUCCUACGGGAGGCAGCAGUGGGGAAUAUUGCACAAUGGGGGAAACCCUGAUGCAGCGACGCCGCGUGAGUGAAGAAGUAUUUCGGUAUGUAAAGCUCUAUCAGCAGGGAAGAAAAUGACGGUACCUGACUAAGAAGCCCCGGCUAACUACGUGCCAGCAGCCGCGGUAAUACGUAGGGGGCAAGCGUUGUCCGGAAUAAUUGGGCGUAAAGGGCGCGUAGGCGGCUCGGUAAGUCUGGAGUGAAAGUCCUGCUUUUAAGGUGGGAAUUGCUUUGGAUACUGUCGGGCUUGAGUGCAGGAGAGGUUAGUGGAAUUCCCAGUGUAGCGGUGAAAUGCGUAGAGAUUGGGAGGAACACCAGUGGCGAAGGCGACUAACUGGACUGUAACUGACGCUGAGGCGCGAAAGUGUGGGGAGCAAACAGGAUUAGAUACCCUGGUAGUCCACACU